CAGGUAUGGCUGCCUGCAUUUUAAUAGGAAACUUUCCCAGAGGAGGCCUUAAGCUUUGGAGGGUUGCCCAACCGUGAGAAUUUCUGUGAUCCUGGCAGGAAAGAGAGGGCUGUUCUGAUGAGGGGGAGCUUCUGCUGCCUCCCAGAUCAAACUCCAGAUAGAUGCCCUGCCUUGCCCAUCAGACUGGGGGUCCUGAGAGAGGGGCUUGUGCCUCCCCCAUGUGCUCUGCAAUCGACUCCACUGCCCUCUGCUGCUGUCCACUCAGGGUGAGGAAGCUGAGGCUAAAAGAAGCGAAGAGACUUUCCAAGAUCACAGCCCUGAGUUCUGUAAUCACACUACAAGCCCAGGCUACAAGUCAGUGCAAGACCUGGAAGAUUCAAGAGUAACUAGGUGGGUCCCUUCUCCGUGAGGAACAGUUAACGUGAUGAAGUCAACUGGGGGAUGAGACGAGGCUGUGGAUGAUGUCACUGAAACCAGAGCACUUCGGACAUGUGGCAUGAAGUUGGGAUUACUCUUUCUGCAGCUCUCCCAGCCCAGAGGCCCUUCCAGUCUCCAAGUCUCCCUCUACCGUUCCAUCUCCCCCAGAUCUGUGUCACACUCCCCCACAUUCCUCAGCUUGGGCCCUCCCCCAACCAGGCCCCGGCUCCCACAUUCCCUGUGGACACUCCCCUGCAGUGGAAAAACCAUCCCUCAUCCCUUUCCUGCUCCCAGCCCCAGGAUCGGACACGCUGGUCACUCCUGUUGGGGAUGGCCAAAGAGAUAACGCCUGGCAUGGCGCCCUUCUGUGUCGUCACAGGACUCUUAAAGCUGUUUCAGGUGGGACCCCUGCCCACACUGAACGUCCAUCCUGGCCCCCGAGCUCUUGACUCUGGCUGCCUCUCCUUCUCCUAGAAUAAGGUAGAGGACCUAGCAGCCAGCCAGAAGGAGGUCAAGGCAAUGAUUAAACUCCCAGCUGAGUUGGCUUCCUGUUCCUUGACCCCCAGAUAUCUCCUAACCCCUGGAGGCUCUGGGUCAUGGGUAGACCAUGGAGAGCGGUUGGGUGGCUCUGGGAGUCACUGCUUGGGAACAAGUGCUCUCCUAAGGGCAGUCAGGGAUGAGUGUCCUUUCCCCGAACACCACAGAGAAAACACUGUUAUCGCAGCUGCUUUUGUUUAGACACAUCUGGCUGUCUGACCAACAUCUGCCUGGAGUUUGUCUCUUAAAGACACAGCUGUGAUCAGUGGCUUCCAGUCCUAACUCUGCCUCCCAGGAGCUGUGUGAUCUUGGACAUCCAGGUUCCCCAGUAUGUCAGAUGAGGAUGAUAAUCCUGACCUUACAGGGAGGCUGGGUAGAUGAAAUGAGAGUCUGCAUGUGAAAUGAUUCAUCAACUGUAAAGUUUGGCCUGAGUCCUCCCCAGGCUCUGAAUCUAAUU